rnacentral:rRNA from 1 species
UUAAGCUACUAAGGGCUUACGGAGGAUGCCUAGGCACAAGUGAGCGAUGAAGGACGUGAUAAGCUGCGAUAAGCCACGGGGAGAAGCACGUAUUUAAUGAUCCGUGGAUGUCCGAAUGGGGAAACCCACCAUCAAUAUGGUAUCUUGAACUGAAUUCAUAGGUUCAAGAAGCGUACGAGGGGAAGUGAAACAUCUCAGUACCCUCAGGAAAAGAAAUCAACCGAGAUUUUCCUAGUAGUGGCGAGCGAACGGGAAAUAGUCUAAACCAUUUACAUGCAAUAGCUUCAAGGCGUUGUGUAUUUGGGGUUGCGAGACUUUCAGGAACUGCUUGAACAGUUCCACGAAGUUAAAAACUCUGUUCUAGUUUAAGGAUUUGGAAAAGUCCGCCAAAGAGCGUGAUAGCCGCGUGGAUGAAAGAACCAGAGUCUUCGGAAAGUAUCUCAAGUAUCACAGGGCACGUGAAACCCGGUGAGAAUCCAGGGAGACCACUCUCUAAGACUAAAUAUCCAUUUGUGACCGAUAGUGAACAAGUACCGUGAGGGAAAGGUGAAAAGAACCCCGAGAGGGGAGUGAAAUAGAAUACUGAAACCGUAAGCCUACAAGCUGUGGGAGCACUAUUUUUAAUGUGUGACCGCGUGCCUCUUGCAUAAUGAGCCAACGAGUUAUUGUUGCAGGCAAGGUUAAGACGUUGCAGUCGUAGCCGUAGCGAAAGCGAGUCUGAAUAGGGCGAUUUAGUCUGCAGUAAUAGACCCGAAACCCGGCGAUCUACUCAUGGUCAGGAUGAAGCGUAAGUAAUAUUACGUGGAGGUCCGAACCAGUUGAAGUUGAAAAUUCUUUGGAUGAACUGUGGGUAGGGGUGAAAGGCCAAUCAAGCUGGGUGAUAGCUGGUUCUCUUCGAAAUAUAUUUAGGUAUAGUCUCAAGUAACUGUAUCGCGGAGGUAGAGCACUGAAUGGGCUAGGGGUCUUUACCAGAUUACCAAACCCAACCAAACUCCGAAUGCCGUUGAUAUUUAUCUUGGGAAACAGUCGUGGGGAGAUAAGUUCCUAUGACGAGAGGGAAAGAGCCCAGACCGUCGGCUAAGGUCCCAAAAUGCACACUAAGUGUAAAACGUUGUGGAGCUACUGAAACAACUAGGAGGUUGGCUUAGAAGCAGCAAUCCUUUAAAGAAAGCGUAAUAGCUCACUAGUCUAGUGGUUCUGCGCGGAAGAUUUAACGGGGCUAAAGUGUGUUACCGAAGCUACGGCUGUAUGAAAAUUUGUUUUUUCAUACGGGGUAGAAGAGCGUUCUGGUGUAGGCUGAAGAUGGAUCGUGAGGACCAUUGGACGAACCAGAAGUGAACAUGUUGGCAUAAGUAGCGUACAAAUGCGGGUGAAAAACCCGCACGUCGUAAACUCAAGGGUUCCUGGGCUAGGAUAAUCCUCCCAGGGUUAGUCGGAUCCUAAGGCGAGGCCAAUUGGCGUAGUCGAUGGACACAAGGUUAAUAUUCCUUGACCAGAAUUAACGUGUGGUGUGGGAGUGACGGAGUAGGCAGUACCGGCCGGUUAUUGGAUUUCGGUGGGGGCUUCAAGGGCGUGUCGUAGGUAAAUCCGCGGCACAUUAAGUCUGAGGAGUCACGCGUGGGACCUAGUCCCUGAAGUGGUAUGAGCCAUGCUUCCAAGAAAAGCUUCAACAUUUGUUAAUUUUGUCCGUACCGUAAACCGACUCAGGUGAGUGAGAUGAAUAUUCUCAGACGAUUGAGUAAACUCUGGCUAAGGAACUCGGCAACUUGACACCGUAACUUCGGAAGAAGGUGUGCCCUCCUCGGAGGGUCGCAGUGAAAUGGGGGUAGCGACUGUUUAUCAAAAACACAGGCAUGUGCAAAGUCUCAAGACGACGUAUACAUGCUGACGCCUGCCCGGUGCUGGAAGGUUAAGAGGAUUUGUCAGCGCAAGCGAAGCAGAGAAUCGAAGCCCCAGUAAACGGCGGCCGUAACUAUAACGGUCCUAAGGUAGCGAAAUUCCUUGUCGGGUAAGUUCCGACNNUCCGACCUGCACGAAUGGCGUAACGACUUCCCCGGUGUCUCGGCCAGAUGCUCAGCGAAAUUGAAGUCCCAGUGAAAAUGCUGGGUGCCCGCAGAAAGACGGAAAGACCCCGUGAACCUUU